rnacentral:rRNA from 1 species
AACGAACGCUGGCGGCAGGCUUAACACAUGCAAGUCGAGCGCCCCGCAAGGGGAGCGGCAGACGGGUGAGUAACGCGUGGGAAUCUACCCAUCCCUACGGAAUAGCUCCGGGAAACUGGAAUUAAUACCGUAUACGCCCUACGGGGAAAAGAUUUAUCGGGGAUGGAUGAGCCCGCGUUGGAUUAGCUAGUUGGUGGGGUAAAGGCCUACCAAGGCGACGAUCCAUAGCUGGUCCGAGAGGAUGAUCAGCCACAUUGGGACUGAGACACGGCCCAAACUCCUACGGGAGGCAGCAGUGGGGAAUAUUGGACAAUGGGGGCGACCCUGAUCCAGCCAUGCCGCGUGAGUGAUGAAGGCCUUAGGGUUGUAAAGCUCUUUCACCGGGGAAGAUAAUGACGGUACCCGGAGAAGAAGCCCCGGCUAACUUCGUGCCAGCCGCCGCCGUAAAAC